CUCUUGCUAACUACACAUAAGAGGUCCUGCCUGCCCUGUGACCCCUGGUUCAACGGCCGCGGUAUUUUGACCGUGCAAAGGUAGCGCAAUCACUUGUCUCUUAAAUGAGGACCUGUAUGAAUGGCACAACGAGGGCUUAACUGUCUCCUUUCCCCGGUCAAUGAAAUUGAUCUUCCCGUGCAGAAGCGGGAAUCCUAACAUAAGACGAGAAGACCCUAUGGAGCUUUAGACGUCAGAACAGACCAUGUAAGCUACCUCCAUGAAAUAGGUAAUAACUAUUGAAUCUCUGUUCCCCUGUCUUCGGUUGGGGCGACUACGGGGAAUAAAAAAACCCCCACGUGGACCAGGAGCACAUUACUCCUACAACCAUGAGCCACAGCUCUAAUGCACAAAACAUUUGACCAUUAGAUCCGGCAAAGCCGAUCAACGGACCAAGUUACCCUAGGGAUAACAGCGCAAUCCCCUUUAAGAGUUCAUAUCGACAAGGGGGUUUACGACCUCGAUGUUGGAUCAAGACAUCCUAAUGGUGCAGCCGCUAUUAAGGGUUCGUUUGUUCAACGAUUAAAGUCUU
rnacentral:rRNA from 1 species